rnacentral:rRNA from 1 species
CCUACGGGUGGCAGCAGUAGGGAAUAUUGCUCAAUGGCGGUAACCCUGAAGCAGCAACGCCGCGUGGAGGAUGAAGGUUUUAGGAUUGUAAACUCCUUUUGUUAGAGAAGAUUAUGUCGGUAUCUAACGAAUAAGCAAUGGCUAACUCCGUGCCAGCAGCCGCGGUACUACGGAGGGUGCCAGCGUUACUCGGAAUCACUGGGCGUAAAGCGUGCGUAGGCGGGGUAAUAAGUCAGAGGUGAAAUCCUGUGGCUUAACUACAGAAUUGCAUUUGAAACUGUUACUCUGGAGUGUGGGAGAGGUAGGUGGAAUUCUUGGUGUAGGGGUAAAAUGCGUAGAGAUCAAGAGGAAUACUGAUUGCGAAGGCGACCUGCUGGGACAUUACUGACGCUGAUGCACGAAAGCGUGGGGAUCAAACAGGAUUAGAUACCCCUGUAGUC